GAUGAACGCUGGCGGCGUGCCUAAUACAUGCAAGUCGAGCGAACAGACGAGGAGCUUGCUCCUCUGACGUUAGCGGCGGACGGGUGAGUAACACGUGGAUAACCUACCUAUAAGACUGGGAUAACUUCGGGAAACCGGAGCUAAUACCGGAUAAUAUAUUGAACCGCAUGGUUCAAUAGUGAAAGACGGUUUUGCUGUCACUUAUAGAUGGAUCCGCGCCGCAUUAGCUAGUUGGUAAGGUAACGGCUUACCAAGGCGACGAUGCGUAGCCGACCUGAGAGGGUGAUCGGCCACACUGGAACUGAGACACGGUCCAGACUCCUACGGGAGGCAGCAGUAGGGAAUCUUUCGCAAUGGGCGAAAGCCUGACGGAGCAACGCCGCGUGAGUGAUGAAGGUCUUCGGAUCGUAAAACUCUGUUAUUAGGGAAGAACAAAUGUGUAAGUAACUAUGCACGUCUUGACGGUACCUAAUCAGAAAGCCACGGCUAACUACGU
rnacentral:rRNA from 1 species